UACGUAGGGGGCAAGCGUUGUCCGGAAUCAUUGGGCGUAAAGAGCGUGUAGGCGGCCAGAUAAGUCCGCUGUGAAAUCUCGAGGCUCAACUUCGAGCUGUCGGUGGAAACUGUCUGGCUAGAGUCCGGAAGAGGAGAAUGGAAUUCCUGGUGUAGCGGUGAAAUGCGCAGAUAUCUGGAGGAAUACCGGUGGCGAAGGCGGCAUCCUGGACCGAGAUUGACACUGAUGAGCGAAAGCUAGGGGAGCAAACGGG
rnacentral:rRNA from 1 species